rnacentral:tRNA from 1 species
AAAAAAUUAGUUAAAUAUUUAUAACAUUAGAUUGUCAUUCUAAAAUUAAUAUAAAUAUAUUAUUUUUUA